CCUUAGGUGAUUAUUGCCAUGCUUUCACAUGAACUCACUUGAAUGAUGUGCUUGCUGAAACUCAAGGCUGCAAGAAUUUUCAAGAAUGAAAAUCUGAUCUGAUCUGUCUGCACACGUGCUCUGGCACAGCCUGCUUGGAGUAAUACGGGAUUGAAAGUUUGACCUAAGCUUAUUUAUCAACUCCAGACUCACUGUGAAAUUCCAGCAGAUUGGUUGCAUGGAGCAGCCAGGAAGAUGGAAGCCAUCCAGGCCCCCUCUGGGAAAGGGCUUUGACUUUCCUUGGGUUUUGCUGCACAGCCAUUUCAAAGAGGACAGAGCAAUCAUUCCACUGACAACUCCCACAGGUCACAGAGGCUUCUGAAAUUGGUGUGUCAUGCAUUUUACCCUGACUCACUGCAAAAUGAAUUACUUGUGAAUGCCCCAAUAGUGUUAGCUUUCAUUGGAGAUGUGCAAAAAGCCCAUCAAUAACUAAGCAGUAAGGUAUUUUAACUUAUAAAUUGAUAAGGGCUGGUAGGUAACCAUGGGCAGCACUGACAGAGUGUUUAUCACUUUGUGUGUCUGGUUUUGCCUUUGUUAUUAAAUGGGCAAAAUAAAGACAUGACACUUCAUAUGCACAGACACCUACAGUUUUUCUCCUAGGGUAGCUGUGCAAGUGUCUCUUCAGCUACUCUUUCUGAAGCUUGUAAAUUACUUUGGAACUGCAACCUACUUUACCCAAUUUUAAUAAAGACACUUAGGAAUACCAUCCCACAUGUCAUCUUACUGCAGGAGUUAUCAUUAGCAGAGUGAACCAAAACAGUCAAUUUAAGUAGAAACUAGGUAUGUCAGGAGUUCACAUCUACUUGCAGCACUUUGGUUGUUUCAUUAAAUCCAUCAAGGAUUUAAACCAGGAACUUACCUAAUAAGGCACCUUGCAGAAGAAACAUGACAACAAAGGUAAGAGCAUUCCAAGCAGGAACAGGACCACCGUUGAAAGGUUCAUGAAUUUUAAAUUAACUGACUUACCUCCCAGUAUUCCUGGUCCAGAUACAGUCAUUAAAGCAAGCAUCCUUGUCAACUGAUUGUAUUUCUGUCCUUCUCAGCAUUUGAAUUAGAAGGAAGAAAUAAUUUAUAGCUAUUUGCAAAACUGGCUAAAUGAACCCAUGAUUCUGAAUUCUCUCCUACGUGUCAUUUGUGUGGGAAUACAGAAGAAAGCAGUGGAACAGUAAAUAAAGGAAUGCUAAGGAUUUCUGCCUUGAACAGAAGAUGAUGCCUAAGAACAAGACUCUCUACAGUAAUGCCAAGUAGUAACAUCUUAAGAGAAGUGUGGUUUGGAGGUGUGGUAAGAUUUAGUUCUAGAGGGUAAUAAAAUCUCAUUGAAAGCUAGGUUGGAACUGGUACAAGAGAAGCUCAAUCUGAAAAAACCAAAGAACAACUAAGUCAGAAGGGGAGUUCUGAAACAAAAUAGAGCGAAGAACCAAAUAUAUCCAGCAACAGCACUGGUGUUUAGAAAAUAUUUGGUGCAAAGUCUGUUAUUCCAACCAUCUUUAAAUCAGCUGAGGAUCUCAGUGUCUCAUACCCUCACUGUUGCCCUGUCCUUUCUUCCAGUUCCAGCAAACAUAACCUUUCCACUGUUUGCAUUUUCUUCUUCUGUCCUUCAGAUUGUGCCACCUCUUCUAAGAAUCCUGUCUGUCUUUUUUUGUCACAUUAAACACAUGUAACUCACUUUGACUUUCAAGGUCCUUCACAGACUUCUUUCUCUUGACCUGUUACCUGAAACUGUGAAUCCAAGUGCCAGCUCUAGUUUCUGACCAGCAAGUGUACUCUUAGGCUUUUAAGCAAGAAUUUUCAAGCAAGACGAGGUGAUUAAUGGCCCCAGUGAUCUCAGAAAGAAGCAUACCUGCUCCAAACUGAGGAGUUCUUUUAUUCUUGGAAAAGGAGGGAAAGGGAGUUGUUUCCUCCACUACUUUAUUCUGGAAGACAGCUAGGUGUGGCAGGCAGCCAACCAGAGACAGGUUUGUUAAAAGCACACUAACUUCUCUAGGAGGAUGUUUUUUCUCCCGAGUCUGAAAUUAGUUGUAGUUUCAGUCAAAAUACUAUCACACAUUAACCAAAAUCAGCAGCAGAAUGUGUAUUUAUACAGCACAUAUGUUUUGUGUAUAUAUUGAUACACACAUACAUAUACACAGAGAGUAAGCUGUAUAAACAUUGAGGCACAGAUAGGUCUGUUCAGUGGCAAAAAGCCUUUGAGGCGAAGGAAUGAAAACAUUUUCCAAACCAACCAAACUUCAGCAUGUUCUGUUAGAGGCAUGAUGCAUCCUGAUGAUGGUGACUAGGGAUUUGCUGUGUGCCCUUCUGGAUGGGUGGCUUUACCCAGCUGACAGAGUUCAGCUCCAGUGAGCUGCCACUGCUGGGCAACAGGACAGAGCAUCUGUCCCAAAAAUCAUUUGUGAUCCCAAAUCUGAAACUUGAGCAAAACAAUUCAGAAUUCUGCUCAAUGUAUUAACAGUUAUGUACAUAGGUUGCAAAAUACUGUCCUAUUUAUUAUUAAAAGAAAUGUCUGUUCAUUUUCCUAUAAUUACUCUAAUGAAAUCGAGAAUAGGCAUAAAUUUGGAUAUAAAUCAGAUUUAAUCAAGUUCUUUUCUGAUCUAAAUUCUUCAGAAAUAUCCAUCACCUGAAUUUUGACUCUUCUUCAACACUAAAAUCUAAGUCUAUUUUUAUAUAAAAUUUUGGAUUAUCUAUAUCUACCUUCUCUUGCCUGCCUCAGGGAGCUCCACAAAGCGAGACUGCAGGUUGAUGGUCUCCUGCCCAGCUGCAGACAGGUAACCCACAGAUAACUUCUGUGAUCAACAUGUUGGGGCUAGAGAAUAGGUUCCCAAUGAGAAACAUAAGAAAGUGGACUGCCCACACAUUUACCAUGGGUAUCUUUUAUUUUGAUGAGGUUUAGAAGGGGAGAGCCUAUCUACAGUUGAUUGUUGAAGAGCAUAAUCAUAUCUCUGGUGCUACUGCAGCGGCUGUUUCAUUCCACAGCCCCUUCUUGCUCAUGUUCAAGACAGUCAGUGACAGAGAUGCAGGUACAGCCAUACUACUAAAAUGUUUCAGGAAGACUUGCAGCAUCACAGAGCAUGGCCAUGUCAUUUCUGACCUCUGCAGCAGAUGAAAAGUAACUUGGAGAAGGGGCUGCCAAUGAGCUGUGCACUAUGGCUUGCAUGUCUCAUAUCUGUUUCAGAGGGGCUAAUGUUCCUAAUUAGCACUGAUGUCACAAAGUGUAGUCAGGCAUACAUGGUAUGAAAGUCAAAUACAGUAGCAAUUUGUUGUGUCCUAUCCCACCAAGAUGAAAAUCGGAUGUCUUUCCUUUUUACCAGGUAGUUCUGAACCCAGUGCUCCCUGUUCCUGCAGUGCAGAGUUAAAUCCCAUAGUGGAAAUGUGCAGUUAAGAAGUGAGGCAUAAUGGAUGUUACUACUACAUGAUCUGAAUUCAGUCAUACUAGUGAUUAAUUUUUCUUGUACUUGGGGAAAGCUGCAAAGAAAGGGGUAACCUCUGCAGAAUAACAAUGAACACAGCCAGAGAGAGCAGAAAAUUGCAUGAUACAUGAGCACAUUCUAAAUGCUGACUCACAGCACCCUACAUUUCUCACUGCUGCCUUCAAAACUCUCCCUAAUCUCCUCAUAUGUUCAGCUUACAGUGUGAUUCACAGGGUCCCUGAAGUGCCCCCACCCCCAUUCUUUGGCUUUUUAUUUUCCUUUUACUCCUACUCUUUCCAUUUUUCCCCUGAUGCUGUACCAUUGUUUUCUAGAGCUGUCAUCAUUACUUCCGGCAGUCCCUGUGCAUAGGGACAGGGUCUGUAAAACAACUGCCAAAACCCUUUUUCACAACUUCCUCCUAUCUGCAACUCUCCUGGGCCGAAUUUAGUCUACUUUUUACAAAUUAUAAAUACAGAUAAAAUGAAAUCAACUGCAUGGAAGAGUCAAAUGACACUUUCUUUUGAGAGAUUACCUCAACUUUUCAGGUUCCAACUUAAUAAACAUGGGUCUGGAGCAUAAGGCUUAUUUCAGCUACAUUUAUAGCACCCAGACAGCUCCUCUCCAAAGUCUGACUGGGAAACCACCGUAUCUUUAAAAAUCCCUGAGAUUACAUGUUCCAGAUUUGCAAUACCAUAAAUUGCAUUAAAAAAACCCCAAACUACUCUAGGAUAUGCAAUUCAGUUUAAUAAAGUACCUUAUAAAACAACUUACCUUGCAACUCACAAGAAACUAAGCACUUCAAAAAAUCUAUUUUUGCUUCAAUUUUCCUUUUUUUAAUGAAAUAACAUAAUCCCUCUCCGAUCAACAAGCUCAGCAUCAUCCUCCUGGCCCAGAAUAUGGCUGCCAAGAAUCCAGCCACUGCAAGAGCUGCACCUGCUUUGUAUUUCCUGAGCUCAAUGGUAAAUUAUCUUUCAGUUUAGUGAGUUUGGAUACAGGCUGAACUUUUCCACUCUGCAAUCAACUUGUGCAGACUCAUAUGAUGUUGCAAGAAAGCCACUGUCAGAAUAGAGAUGAUGUCACUAAAAGAACAGAUGUGGAUGUCUCAAGGAUGUAGCUAUUUAGGUGUCAUGUAAAAUCGGUACACUUGUAGUUCAAGCAUCUGAAAAAGAUACUAUGCAUGGUCAGUUUCUACAAAGAUAGAAUACAGAGGAAAUUGACAGGUCUUUCUUUAAAAUUCUGUUACUUUUACAUGUUUCUAAAUAGUAAAAAACUACAGAAGAAAAAUCUUGGUAAAUAUAUUUAUUAUUGUUGGAUUUUUUUUAAUGCAGAAAUACUGUUAUUUCAAUUAGAGGAUUACAAUCCUGUUUAAUUGCUCUUUGUACUAAAACAAGAGACAAACACAUUGUUCAACUGCAUUUUGAUUAAGAAUCCAACUGUGGUUUCAGAUGUUCAUACACAAGUUUCAUUAACAGCAGGAUUGAUUACAUUUGUACAUUAAAUGAGAAUUUGUCUCAAAAAAUAUUAGACUAAGGACUCUUUCUUUUAACACCCUUUUUA